rnacentral:rRNA from 1 species
AGAGUUUGAUUAUGGCUCAGGAUGAACGCUAGCUACAGGCUUAACACAUGCAAGUCGAGGGGCAGCAUUGGAGUAGCAAUACUCAGAUGGCGACCGGCGCACGGGUGAGUAACACGUAUCCAACCUGCCGCUUACUCGGGGAUAGCCUUUCGAAAGAAAGAUUAAUACCCGAUGGUAUAAAGAGUUCGCAUGUUCUCUUUAUUAAAGAAUUUCGGUAAGCGAUGGGGAUGCGUUCCAUUAGAUAGUUGGCGGGGUAACGGCCCACCAAGUCUACGAUGGAUAGGGGUUCUGAGAGGAAGGUCCCCCACAUUGGAACUGAGACACGGUCCAAACUCCUACGGGAGGCAGCAGUGAGGAAUAUUGGUCAAUGGACGAGAGUCUGAACCAGCCAAAGUAGCGUGAAGGAUGACUGCCCUAUGGGUUGUAAACUUCUUUUAUAAGGGAAUAAAGUGAGGGACGUGUCCCUUUUUGUAUGUACCUUAUGAAUAAGGGUCGGCUAACUCCGUGCCAGCCGCCGC